AGUAGAAUUGCUGGGUUGCAUGGUAUGUUUAACUUUUUGAGAAACUGCCAGACUGUUAUUCCAAAGUGCCUGUACCAUUUUACAUUCCCAUCAGCUAU
rnacentral:pre_miRNA from 1 species